UUGGAAUAGCAACCAAGAGCCUUUUAAUUAGAACAAUAGAGAGAAGACUAGCAUGUCCCCUGUGCAAGGAUGACACACAUGAUUUCAAAUUCAUGAAAUGCUCCAUGUUUUC
ensembl:snRNA U6 U6 spliceosomal RNA